GUCGAGAAUCUUUCACAAUGGGGGCAACCCUGAUGGAGCGACGCCGCGUGGAGGAUAAGGUCUUCGGAUUGUAAACUCCUGUCAUGCGUGAACAAGGUUGCUUGGUUAAUACCUGGGCAAAUUGAUGGUAACGCAAGAGGAAGAGACGGCUAACUCUGUGCCAGCAGCCGCGGUAAUACAGAGGUCUCAAGCGUUGUUCGGAAUCACUGGGCGUAAAGGGUGCGUAGGUGGCGUGGUAAGUCAGAUGUGAAAGCCCGGGGCUCAACCUCGGAACGGCAUCCGAUACGGCCAUGCUAGAGUACUGGAGAGGUGACUAGAAUUCUCGGUGUAGCAGUGAAAUGCGUAGAUAUCGAGAGGAAUACCAAAGGCGUAGGCAGGUCACUGGACAGUUACUGACACUGAGGCACGAAGGCCAGGGGAGCGAACGGGAUUAGAAACCCUAGUAGUCC
rnacentral:rRNA from 1 species